rnacentral:rRNA from 1 species
UACAGAGGUCUCGAGCGUUAGGCGGAAUCACUGGGCUUAAAGCGUGUGUAGGUGGAUGCCUAAGUACCUUGUGAAAUCCCACGGCUUAACCGUGGAGCUGCUUGGUAUACUGGGUGUCUUGAGUCACUCAGGGGCGAGCGGAACAAAUGGUGGAGCGGUGAAAUGCGUAGAUAUCAGGAGGAACACCUGUGGCGAAAGCGGCUCACUGGACCAUAACUGACGCUGAUGCACGAAAGCUAGGGGAGCGAAUGGG